rnacentral:lncRNA from 10 species
GCCACACACCCCGAGCCCUGCCUGCGGGCCCAGCCCCCCCAUUUCCGGAGCCUGCGCCCCGGACCCAGCGGGGGCUGAUCCCUGGGAAAGGCCUGGCUUCCUCUUCCUUCCUGUCCCUGCCCCACCUCCGCCGGGCUCCACAGCCGCCGGGAGCCCAGGGCCGAGACGGGAGGAGGGCACCCACCUGGUCGGUGUCACAUGCUGCUUCGGCCCCAGCGUCCCCUCCAGGUCCCGGCGCCGGCCGCAGUCCCCAGAGCCGUCCCCAGCGCAGGCCCGGCCGCCCCACCCGCGGCCCGCCCCUGGCCGCCCGACGGGAGGGAGGGAUCGGGUUCUCCUAGGAAGUUUCAGUAUGCAUUCUUAGAAACCAGAUAUACAAAGACAAGAUCUCUGCUUUCAAGAAGCUCUCAAUCUGAUUGAGGAGAGAAACAGGUAGCAAAUAAUGGCAGCAGAGCAUGGUCAUUCAACAUUUAUUCAACCAAAAAUACUAAGUCAGCUCUAUACAAACUAAUGGAAGGAUACAGCUAUGCAAAUAUAGAACACUAAAGUGUUACAUGACAGAUGUAUGAGAACUGGGAAGAAAGGACCCUGAAAAGUUAGCUGGUUCCAAGUGACCCUCCAAGGGGAAGAGUGCUGGAUUCAGAGCCCACCUCAGGGGAAGACAGGACCCUCUCCAAGAUGGUUUCCCUAGAAGCUACUACCUCUCCCUGGAGGGUGGAGAUAUUUGCUGGUCAAAGCAAGAAGGCCCUCUGCAGAUGCUGACACCUUGAUAUUGGACUUCCCAGAUUCCAGAACUCUGAGAAAUAAAUUUCUAUUUUAAAU